rnacentral:rRNA from 1 species
CUUAGUAACGGCGAGUGAAGCGGUAAAAGCUCAAAUUUGAAAUCUGGUACUUUCAGUGCCCGAGUUGUAAUUUGUAGAAUUUGUCUUUGAUUAGGUCCUUGUCUAUGUUCCUUGGAACAGGACGUCAUAGAGGGUGAGAAUCCCGUUUGGCGAGGAUACCUUUUCUCUGUAAGACUUUUUCGAAGAGUCGAGUUGUUUGGGAAUGCAGCUCAAAGUGGGUGGUAAAUUCCAUCUAAAGCUAAAUAUUGGCGAGAGACCGAUAGCGAACAAGUACAGUGAUGGAAAGAUGAAAAGAACUUUGAAAAGAGAGUGAAAAAGUACGUGAAAUUGUUGAAAGGGAAGGGCAUUUGAUCAGACAUGGUGUUUUUUGCAUGCACUCGCCUCUCGUGGGCUUGGGCCUCUCAAAAAUUUCACUGGGCCAACAUCAAUUCUGGCAGCAGGAUAAAUCAUUAAGAAUGUAGCUACUUCGGUAGUGUUAUAGCUUUUUGGAAUACUGUUAGCCGGGAUUGAGGACUGCGCUUCGGCAAGGAUGUUGGCAUAAUGGUUAAAUGCCGCCCGUCUUGAAACACGGACCAAAAU